rnacentral:rRNA from 1 species
AAGUGUUGUCCGGAAUUAUUGGGCGUAAAGAGCUCGUAGGUGGUCUGUCACGUCUGCUGUGGAAACGCAAGGCUCAACCUUGCGCGUGCAGUGGGUACGGGCGGACUAGAGUGCAGUAGGGGAGUCUGGAAUUCCUGGUGUAGCGGUGAAAUGCGCAGAUAUCAGGAGGAACACCGGUGGCGAAGGCGGGACUCUGGGCUGUAACUGACGCUGAGGAGCGAAAGCAUGGGGAGCGAACAGGAUUAGAUACCCUGGUAGUCCAUGCCGUAAACGUUGGGCACUAGGUGUGGGGUCCAUUCCACGGAUUCCGCGCCGUAGCUAACGCAUUAAGUGCCCCGCCUGGGGAGUACGGCCGCAAGGCUAAAACUCAAAGGAAUUGACGGGGGCCCGCACAAGCGGCGGAGCAUGCGGAUUAAUUCGAUGCAACGCGAAGAACCUUACCAAGGCUUGACAUACACCGGAAUGUGCCAGAGAUGGUUCAGCCCUUUGGGCUGGUGUACAGGUGGUGCAUGGUUGUCGUCAGCUCGUGUCGUGAGAUGUUGGGUUAAGUCCCGCAACGAGCGCAACCCUCGUUCUAUGUUGCCAGCACGUGAUGGUGGGAACUCAUAGGAGACUGCCGGGGUCAACUCGGAGGAAGGUGGGGAUGACGUCAAAUCAUCAUGCCCUUUAUGUCUUGGGCUUCACGCAUGCUACAAUGGUCGGUACAGAGGGUUGCGAAGCCGUGAGGCGGAGCGAAUCCCAGAAAGCCGGUCUCAGUUCGGAUCGUAGUCUGCAACUCGACUACGUGAAGUCGGAGUCGCUAGUAAUCGCAGAUCAGCAACGCUGCGGU